rnacentral:rRNA from 1 species
AUUGAACGCUGGCGGAAUGCUUUACACAUGCAAGUCGAGCGGCAGCGCGGGGCAACCUGGCGGCGAGCGGCGAACGGGUGAGUAAUGCAUCGGAACAUGUCCAUGUCGUGGGGGAUAGCCCGGCGAAAGCCGGAUUAAUACCGCAUACGCCCGAGAGGGGAAAGGUGGGGACCGCAAGGCCUCACGCGAUUGGGUUGGCCGAUGUCCGAUUAGCUAGUUGGCGGGGUAAAAGCCCACCAAGGCGACGAUCGGUAGCUGGUCUGAGAGGACGACCAGCCACACUGGGACUGAGACACGGCCCAGACUCCUACGGGAGGCAGCAGUGGGGAAUUUUGGACAAUGGGGGCAACCCUGAUCCAGCCAUGCCGCGUGUGUGAAGAAGGCC